GAAAUGCGAUAAGUAAUGUGAAUUGCAGAAUUCCGUGAAUCAUCGAAUCUUUGAACGCACAUUGCGCCCUCUGGUAUUCCGGGGGGCAUGCCUGUCCGAGCGUCAUUGCGAACCCCUCAAGCACGGCUUGUGUGAUGGGCCCUCCCGCGUCUUGGUCGUCAAGACGGGCCCGAAAUGCAGUGGCGGCUUCGCGGUUAUCCGAUCAGCCAGAGCGUAUGGGGACUUUCUCUCUGUCACACGCCCGCGGCGCGGACCGACGCCUGUCGACCUUUAUUCAUCUUUUUCUCGGUUGACCUCGGAUCAGGUAGGGAUGCCCGCUGAACUUAAGC
rnacentral:misc_RNA from 1 species